AAGUCGUAACAAGGUUUCCGUAGGUGAACCUGCGGAAGGAUCAUCAAAUGAUACUUUUGUAUUAUGAUAACCUGUGGUCAUAUGUGACAUGUUCUAAUUCUAUGAGUUAGAAUCUUUUUAAACCAAACUAAUAUCAGAGAUGGAAUAUGUUAUUAACAGAAAUAACUAUCAACCACGGAUCUCUAGGCUCUU
rnacentral:misc_RNA from 1 species